CAGGAAACAAUUAAGGGCGCACGGUGGAUGCCUAGGCUUACAACAGCGAUGAAGGACGUGACUAGUCUGCGAAAUGUUUCGGGGAGGUGACUUGUAACCUUUGAUCCGGAAAUGUCCGAAUAGGGAAACCAAAUCCGUAUGGAUUGUUCUUCCGCAAGGAAGAUCGCGAACCUCGGGAAGUGAAACAUCUCAGUACCGAGAGGAAAAGAAAACAAUAUCGAGUAGCGUUCCGUUCGCCCGAUGCUUCGGACGGAUGGAACGCGACUCUCGUUAUUCCCUGAGUAGCGGCGAGCGAAACGGGAGAAGCCCAAACCUGUAGAUUCGUCUAUGGGGGUUGUAAGGCAGAAGUGGAGUACUUGUACUCGAAGAGUUACCAAUUGUCUUCAUAGUAGAAGCUGCUGGAAAGCAGCACCCUAGAGGGUAAUGGUCCCGUAUACGAAAUGAAUGACAACUCUUUGACUUCUGUUCUUGAGUAGCUCGAGACACGAAUAGCUCGAGUGAAUCUGCCAGAACUAACUGGUAAGGCUAAAUAUGUUGUAGGACCGAUAGUGAACUAGUACCGUGAGGGAAAGGUGAAAAGAACCCCGAGAGGGGAGUGAAAUAGAACUGAAACCGUGUGCUUACAAAGGGUUAUGGCGGACUUUGUUCCGUUAUAGCGUGCCUAUUGAAGAAUGAGCCUGCGAGUGUAUAUAUGUCGCUUGGAUAAAUCCGUUACGGGAUGCAUCCUCAGGGAAACCGAGUGUGAAUAGCGCGUUUGUGUCAUAUAUACGACCCGAAGCAACGUGAGCUUGCCAUGAGCAGGGUGAAGUGUGGAGAAAUCCACAUGGAGGCCCGAACCCGUUCGUCGUACAACGCGUUGGGAUGACUUGUGGUAAGGAGUGAAAAGCUAAUCGAACGUUGUAAUAGCUGGUUCUCUCCGAAACAGCUUUUGGGCUGGCGUCGUGUGAUCCUUCCGGGGGUAGAGCACUGGAAGGGACAAACAGGGAGAAAUCUCGUUGUCCCUAUCAACCUCCGAAUACCGGAAGUCUACAACACGGCAGUUAGACGAUGGGGGCGAAGCUCCAUCCGUCAAAAAGGGAAGAGCCUAGAUCGCCAGUUAAGGCCCCAAAAUAUAUGCUGAGUGCAACUCAAGGAAGUGAGAAUCCUUUGACAAUGAGGAUGUUGGCUUAGAAGCAGCCACCAUUUAAAGAAAGCGUAACAGCUCACUCAUCGAGGGUUCUUGCGCCGAAGAUAAUCGGGGCUAAGCAUAUUGCCGAAACUGCGGGUGCGCAUCGUAUUCGUACGAUGCGUGCGGUAGGAGAGCGUUCCGUUCUGCUGUGAAGGUAAAGGGGUGACCCAUACUGGAGCGUACGGAAGUGAGAAUGCAGGUACAAGUAACCACAAUGCGGGUGAGAACCCCGCACGUCGAAAGAUCAAGGUUUCCUCAGCUAUGGUGAUCAACUGAGGGUUAGUCGGGCCUAAGGGGAUGGUGAAAACCGCACCCGAUGGACACAUGGUUAAUAUUCCAUGACCGAUCAUAUGUGCGAUGGAGUGACGGACUGCUGUACUCGUGGCCCCUUAUUGGAUUGGGGUCCGUGCCGUGAGCGUGUUUGCUAGGGAAAUCCGGCAGACGUUAGCGCGAGCGGAGCGGCAAUUUCCUUCUUCGGAGGGAGAGAGCAUGGGGAGCGCGGUUCCAAGAAAAACUUCUAAGCUUCAACAUAUGACGACCGUACCGCAAACCGACACAGGUGAUCGGGUCGAGAAGACCAAGACGAACGAGUGAGAGGUCCUCAAGGAACUCGGCAAAAUAGCGGCCGUAAGUUAGCGAUAAGGCCUGCCCCACGCAAGUGGGGCCGCAGCUAAAGACUCCCUGGCAACUGUUUACCAAAAACACAGCUCCCUGCGAACUCGUAAGAGGAUGUAUAGGGGGUGACACCUGACCAAUGCCGGAAGGUCAACUAUGGGGGGUGGUAUGUCUUCGGAUGUACUGCUGGACUAUAUAAGCCCCGGUGAAUGUCGGCGAUAACUAUAAUCGUCCUAAGGUAGCGUAAUUCCUUGUCUGGUAAGUUCAGACGUGCACGAAUGGUGUAAUGACUGGGGAACUGUCUCGAGGACUCGCUCGGUGAAAAUGCAAUACCGGUGA
rfam:Parcubacteria bacterium C7867-001 C7867_00020, whole genome shotgun sequence.